CGUUCCCGGGCCUUGUACACACCGCCCGUCACACCACGAGAGUUUGUAACACCCGAAGCCGGUGGGGUAACCGUAAGGAGCCAGCCGUCUAAGGUGGGACAGAUGAUUGGGGUG
rnacentral:rRNA from 1 species